CAGUGGUUCAUGUAGUGGCAGCUCCUGGACACUGGACACUGGACACUGGGCACCAGUCAUUGCAGGAAGCACUGGACACACAUCAACUCCUUUGAUCUGCACUAUGACCCUAAGCUCUGAGAAAUGAAGAAACUUGCCCACAAUCACAUGACCAGGGAGAGGCAGAGAUCCUUCACAUCAAGUUCAGAGAAUGACUCCAGAGAUAUAGAGGCCACUAAAAACUCAGGAAAAAUGUUUGAAGAUAUACAUUUGCCAACCUACAACUGGGCACCAAAUAUGUACCAGACACUCUAUGGCUACAAAAGGAAACAAAACCAACUCUUCUUUCCUCUUAUGGAGUCUCCAUUUAGGGAAGCUCAUGUGACCCCAGCCUGCCAAUAAGAGAAGGACCAAGAUGGGCACAAGGCCAAGCAAGACCACUCAGCACCAGCGCCAGGAUCCCCACAGGAACUUCUCACCAAGGCUCUCUUGUGGGUUGCUAUGCUGGUGAACAGCUAGCCUUACAGCUGCCAGUCACCUUGAAAUCUCAAAGUGGGAGUCUGCCUAUGAUAGAAGGCAUCACAGAGGAAACUAAAGCCAGAAAAUAGAGAGUCCCCAGAAGAAAUCAUGUGACCCCCCAGACCCAGACUUGCCCAUAACCAGAACUCCCCUGGACUUGCCAAUCACAUGAGCCAAUAAAUGCCUGUUUUCAACUAAUUUUAA